rnacentral:rRNA from 1 species
UACAGAGGGGGCAAGCGUUAUUCGGAAUUAUUGGGCGUAAAGGGCGCGUAGGCGGCUUGGCAAGUGGAUGGUGAAAUCCCUCGGCUUAACCGAGGAACUGCCGUCCAAACUGCUUCGCUUGAGACCGGGAGAGGUGAGUGGAAUUCCCAGUGUAGCGGUGAAAUGCGUAGAUAUUGGGAGGAACACCAGUGGCGAAGGCGGCUCACUGGACCGGUACUGACGCUGAUGCGCGAAAGCUAGGGGAGCGAACAGG